rnacentral:rRNA from 1 species
UAGGGAAUCUUCGGCAAUGGGGGCAACCCUGACCGAGCAACGCCGCGUGAGUGAAGAAGGUUUUCGGAUCGUAAAGCUCUGUUGUAAGAGAAGAACGUGUGUGAGAGUGGAAAGUUCACACAGUGACGGUAACUUACCAGAAAGGGACGGCUAACUACGUGCCAGCAGCCGCGGUAAUACGUAGGUCCCGAGCGUUGUCCGGAUUUAUUGGGCGUAAAGCGAGCGCAGGCGGUUUAAUAAGUCUGAAGUUAAAGGCAGUGGCUUAACCAUUGUUCGCUUUGGAAACUGUUAAACUUGAGUGCAGAAGGGGAGAGUGGAAUUCCAUGUGUAGCAGUGAAAUGCGUAGAUAUAUGGAGGAACACCGGUGGCGAAAGCGGCUCUCUGGUCUGUAACUGACGCUGAGGCUCGAAAGCGUGGGGAGCAAACAGG